GAUGAACGCUGGCGGCGUGCCUAAUACAUGCAAGUCGAGCGAACGGACGAGAAGCUUGCUUCUCUGAUGUUAGCGGCGGACGGGUGAGUAACACGUGGAUAACCUACCUAUAAGACUGGGAUAACUUCGGGAAACCGUAGCUAAUACCGGAUAAUAUAUUGAACCGCAUGGUUCAAAAGUGAAAGACGGUCUUGCUGUCACUUAUAGAUGGAUCCGCGCUGCAUUAGCUAGUUGGUAAGGUAACGGCUUACCAAGGCAACGAUGCAUAGCCGACCUGAGAGGGUGAUCGGCCACACUGGAACUGAGACACGGUCCAGACUCCUACGGGAGGCAGCAGUAGGGAAUCUUCCGCAAUGGGCGAAAGCCUGACGGAGCAACGCCGCGUGAGUGAUGAAGGUCUUCGGAUCGUAAAACUCUGUUAUUAGGGAAGAACAAAUGUGUAAGUAACUGUGCACGUCUUGACGGUACCUAAUCAGAAAGCCACGGCUAACUACGUG
rnacentral:rRNA from 1 species